GGGAUUGUGGCUCAGUGGUAGAGCACUUGCCUAGCAUGUAUGAGGCACUGAGUUCGAUUCUGAGCACCA
rnacentral:tRNA from 1 species